rnacentral:rRNA from 1 species
AAGAGACAGCAGCAGCCACGGGAAUACGUAGGGUGCAAGCGUUAAACGGAAUUACUGGGCGUAAAGCGUGCGCAGGCGGUUCGGAAAGAAAGAUGUGAAAUCCCAGGGCUCAACCUUGGAACUGCAUUUUUAACUACCGGACUAGAGUAUGUCAGAGGGAGGUGGAAUUCCACGUGUAGCAGUGAAAUGCGUAGAUAUGUGGAGGAACACCGAUGGCGAAGGCAGCCUCCUGGGAUAAUACUGACGCUCAUGCACGAAAGCGUGGGGAGCAAACAGGCUUAGAUACCCGUGUAGUCCCUGUCUCUUAUAC